rnacentral:rRNA from 1 species
UAGCGUAUAUUAAAGUUGUUGCGGUUAAAAAGCUCGUAGUUGGAUUUCUGUUGAGAACAGGCGGUCCACCUUUUGGGUGAGUAUCUGCAUUGGUCUCGGCAUCUUCUCGGAAUACGGUUCUGCGCUUGAUUGCGUGGAUCGGAGUUCGGGACUUUUACUUUGAGGAAAUUAGAGUGUUCACGGCAGGCAAUCGCCCUGAAUAUAUUAGCAUGGAAUAAUAAUAUAGGAUUUCAGGCCUAUUUUGUUGGUUUCUAGGCUUGAAAUAAUGAUUAAUAGGGACAAUUGGGGGCAUUCGUAUUAACGCGUC